ACUCCUACGGGAGGCAGCAGUGGGAAUAUUGGACAAUGGGGAAACCCUGAUCCGACGCCAUGCCGCGUGUGUGAAGAAGGCCUUCGGGUUGUAAAGCACUUUCAGUGGGGAGGAAAGGUUGUUGGUUAAUACCUAACAGCUGUGACGUUACCCACAGAAGAAGCACCGGCUAACUCCGUGCCAGCAGCCGCGGUAAUACGGAGGGUGCAAGCGUUAAUCGGAAUUACUGGGCGUAAAGCGUGCGCAGGCGGUCUGUUAAGCGAGAUGUGAAAGCCC
rnacentral:rRNA from 1 species